rnacentral:rRNA from 1 species
AUUGAACGCUGGCGGCAGGCCUAACACAUGCAAGUCGAGCGGAUGAAGGGAGCUUGCUCCUGGAUUCAGCGGCGGACGGGUGAGUAAUGCCUAGGAAUCUGCCUGGUAGUGGGGGAUAACGUCCGGAAACGGGCGCUAAUACCGCAUACGUCCUGAGGGAGAAAGUGGGGGAUCUUCGGACCUCACGCUAUCAGAUGAGCCUAGGUCGGAUUAGCUAGUUGGUGGGGUAAAGGCCUACCAAGGCGACGAUCCGUAACUGGUCUGAGAGGAUGAUCAGUCACACUGGAACUGAGACACGGUCCAGACUCCUACGGGAGGCAGCAGUGGGGAAUAUUGGACAGAGGGCGAAAGCCUGAUCCAGCCAUGCCGCGUGUGUGAAGAAGGUCUUCGGAUUGUAAAGCACUUUAAGUUGGGAGGAAGGGCAGUAAGUUAAUACCUUGCUGUUUUGACGUUACCAACAGAAUAAGCACCGGCUAACUUCGUG